rnacentral:rRNA from 1 species
AGUUGAUCUGGCUCAGGAGAACGCUGGCGGCGUGCUUAACACAUGCAAGUCCAGCGGAAAGGCCUCUUUGGGGGUACUCGAGCGGCGAACGGGUGAGUAACACGUGAGUAACCUGCCCCAGUCUUUGGGAUAACCCUCGGAAACGGGGGCUAAUACCGGAUAUGAUCACAGGUCGCAUGGUUUGUGGUGGAAAGUUUUUCGGUCUGGGAUGGGCUCGCGGCCUAUCAGCUUGUUGGUGGGGUGAUGGCCUACCAAGGCGACGACGGGUAGCCGGCCUGAGAGGGCGACCGGCCACACUGGGACUGAGACACGGCCCAGACUCCUACGGGAGGCAGCAGUGGGGAAUAUUGCACAAUGGGCGGAAGCCUGAUGCAGCGACGCCGCGUGAGGGAUGACGGCCUUCGGGUUGUAAACCUCUUUCACCCAUGACGAAGCGUGAGUGACGGUAGUGGGAGAAGAAGCGCCGGCCAACUACGUGCCAGCAGCCGCGGUAAGACGUAGGGCGCGAGCGUUGUCCGGAUUUAUUGGGCGUAAAGAGCUCGUAGGCGGCUUGUCGCGUCGACUGUGAAAACCCGCGGCUCAACCGCGGGCUUGCAGCCGAUACGGGCAGGCUGGAGUUCGGUAGGGGAGACUGGAAUUCCUGGUGUAGCGGUGAAAUGCGCAGAUAUCAGGAGGAACACCGGUGGCGAAGGCGGGUCUCUGGAGCGAUACUGACGCUGAGGAGCGAAAGCGG